rnacentral:rRNA from 1 species
UACGUAGGGUGCAAGCGUUGUCCGGAAUUAUUGGGCGUAAAGAGCGUGUAGGCGGCCCGAUUAGUCCGCUGUGAAAGUCCAGGGCUCAACCCUGGAAUGCCGGUGGAUACUGUCGGGCUAGAGUCCGGAAGGGGCGAGUGGAAUUCCUGGUGUAGCGGUGAAAUGCGCAGAUAUCAGGAGGAACACCAAUGGCGAAGGCAGCUCGCUAGGACGGUACUGACGCUGAGACGCGAAAGCGUGGGGAGCAAACAGG